rnacentral:misc_RNA from 1 species
GCUCUUUGGAUUAUCCUUCCAAAGCUUGGAAGUAAUCCCCCACACGCUAAAACCAUUAUAUGAUCCAGACCGCUGUAGUCAAUUCCUGCAAGUAUUGCUCCAAUGGGAGACAUUGGACCCAUAAAGCCUAUUAAAGCUGCUGCUGCCAGAGCAUUGUGCCAGCUGUCAGUAGCACCGAAGAUGCAGCUAGCCACAGCAGCACCACG